rnacentral:rRNA from 1 species
GAUGAACGCUGGCGGCGUGCCUAAUACAUGCAAGUCGAGCGAACAGACGAGGAGCUUGCUCCUCUGACGUUAGCGGCGGACGGGUGAGUAACACGUGGAUAACCUACCUAUAAGACUGGGAUAACUUCGGGAAACCGGAGCUAAUACCGGAUAAUAUAUUGAACCGCAUGGUUCAAUAGUGAAAGACGGUUUUGCUGUCACUUAUAGAUGGAUCCGCGCCGCAUUAGCUAGUUGGUAAGGUAACGGCUUACCAAGGCAACGAUGCGUAGCCGACCUGAGAGGGUGGUCGGCCACACUGGAACUGAGACACGGUCCAGACUCUUACGGGAGGCAGCAGUAGGGAAUCUUCCGCAAUGGACGAAAGCCUGACGGAGCAACGCCGCGUGAGUGAUGAAGGUCUUCGGAUCGUAAAACUCUGUUAUUAGGGAAGAACAAAUGUGUAAGUAACUAUGCACGUCUUGACGGUACCUAAUCAGAAAGCCACGGCUAACUACGUG